rnacentral:rRNA from 1 species
AGAUUGAACGCUGGCGGCGUGCCUAACACAUGCAAGUCGAGCGGUAACAGGUGUAGCAAUACAUGCUGACGAGCGGCGAACGGGUGAGUAAUGCUUUGGAAUCUUCCCAGUAGUGGGGAAUAACCAGUCGAAAGAUUGGCUAAUACCGCAUACGUCUGUAAAGGGAAAGCGGGGCUCGUAAGACCUCGCGCUAUUGGAUGAGCCAAAGUCGGAUUAGCUAGUUGGUGGGGUAAUGGCCCACCAAGACUGUGAUCGGUA